rnacentral:rRNA from 1 species
GAUGAACGCUAGCGGCAGGCUUAACACAUGCAAGUCGAGGGGUAUAGUUCUUCGGAGCUAGAGACCGGCGCACGGGUGCGUAACGCGUAUGCAACCUACCUUUUGCAGAGGGAUAGCCCAGAGAAAUUUGGAUUAAUACCUCAUGGUAUGUGAGAAUGGCAUCAUUUUCACAUUAAAGUCACAACGGCAAAAGAUGAGCAUGCGUCCCAUUAGCUAGUUGGUAAGGUAACGGCUUACCAAGGCAACGAUGGGUAGGGGUCCGGAGAGGGAGCUCCACCAACCUGGUACUGGGACACGGACCAGACUCCUACGGGAGGCAGCAGUGAGGAAUAUUGGACAAUGGGCGCAAGCCUGAUCCAGCCAUGCCGCGUGCAGGAUGACGGUCCUAUGGAUUGUAAACUGCUUUUGUACAGGAAGAAACACUGGUUCGUGAACCAGCUUGACGGUACUGUAAGAAUAAGGAUCGGCUAACUCCGUGCCAGCCGCCGCCGUAAAAC